CCUACGGGUGGCAGCAGUGGGGAAUAUUGGACAAUGGGGGCAACCCUGAUCCAGCCAUGCCGCGUGUGUGAAGAAGGCCCUCGGGUUGUAAAGCACUUUCAGUGAGGAAGAACGCCUGGUGGUUAAUACCCAUCAGGAAAGACAUCACUCACAGAAGAAGCACCGGCUAACUCCGUGCCAGCAGCCGCGGUAAUACGGAGGGUGCGAGCGUUAAUCGGAAUUACUGGGCGUAAAGCGCGCGUAGGUGGCUUGAUAAGCCGGUUGUGAAAGCCCCGGGCUCAACCUGGGAACGGCAUCCGGAACUGUCAAGCUAGAGUGCAGGAGAGGAAGGUAGAAUUCCAGGUGUAGCGGUGAAAUGCGUAGAGAUCGGGAGGAAUACCAGUGGCGAAGGCGGCCUUCUGGACUGAAACUGACACUGAGGUGCGAAAGCGUGGGUAGCAAACAGGAUUAGAUACCCCAGUAGUC
rnacentral:rRNA from 1 species